AAAGCUCGUAGUUGAAAUUUCUGAGCUCGCCGAGCGGCGGUCUUUGGCCGACCACUCCGCAAGUUCAUCCUCGCCCCUCGGGGCGUCAUUUACUGUGAAAAAAUUAGAGUGUUUAAAGCAGGCUUUAGGCUUGAAUACAUUAGCAUGGAAUAAUGAGAUAGGACCAAGUCGUAUUUUGUUGGUUGCGCGAUUCGGUAAUGAUUAAUAGGGACAGUUGGGGGUAUUCAUAUUUAAUUGUCAGAGGUGAAAUUUUUAGAUUUAUUAAAGAUGAACUACUGCGAAAGCAUUUACCAAGGAUGUUUUCAUUAAUCAAGAACGAAAGUCAGGGGAUCGAAGAGGAUUAGAUACCCUCGUAGUCUUGACCAUAAACUAUGCCGACUCAGGAUUGGCACCCUUUUUUAACAGGGUGUCAGCACUGUAUGAAAAAUCAAAGUCUCUGGGUUCCGGGGGGAGUAUGGUCGCAAGGCUGAAACUUAGAGGGAUUGACGGAAGGGCACCACCAGGAGUGGAGCCUGCGGCUUAAUUUGACUCAACACGGGGAAAC
rnacentral:rRNA from 1 species